rnacentral:rRNA from 1 species
CAUAAAGAGCGUAGGGUGGAUGCCUAGGCACUGACAGCCGAAGAAAGACGUGACAAGCUGCGAAAAGCUGCGGGGAGAAGCACAUAUUCAGUGAUCCGCAGAUGUCUGAAUGGGGAAACCCACUUGGAAGAACUCCAAGUAUCUGUACGCCAAUACAUAACGUACAGAGGGGAACCCGGUGAACUGAAACAUCUAAGUAGCCGGAGGAAAAGAAAACAAAAGUGAUUGCGAAAGUAGCGGCGAGCGAAAUCGUAAGAGCCCAAACCGUGGUGCGUGCACUGCGGGGUUGAGGACUGCGACAUGAGUAAGAUACAUUACCUGAACCGUUUUGGAAAAGCGGGCCAAAGAGCGUGAGAGCCGUGUAAGGGAAAAUGUAUUUAAUCUAGCAGUAUCCAGAGUACCACGAGACACGAGAAACCUUGUGGGAAGCAGGGGGGACCACCCCCCAAGGCUAAAUACUAGUCAGUGACCGAUAGCGUAUAGUACUGUGAAGGAAAGGUGAAAAGAACCCCGGGAGGGGGAGUGAAAAAGAACCUGAAACCCUAUGUUUACAAACUGUGGAACACCGAAAGGUGAACUGCGUACUUUUUGUAGAACGGUCCGGCGAGUUACAUGUACAGGCGAGGUUAAGUAUUAAAGAUACGGAGCCGAAGGGAAACCAAGUCUUAAUAGGGCGAAUGUAGUCAGUAUGUGUAGACCCGAAACCGGGUGAUCUAUCCAUGUCCAGGUUGAAGUUCGCGUAAAAGUGAAUGGAGGACCGAACGCACAUCCGUUGAAAAGGGUGGCGAUGAGGUGUGGAUAGGGGAGAAAUUCCAAUCGAACCCGGAGAUAGCUGGUUCUCCUCGAAAUAGUUUUAGGACUAGCCUCGUUAUUAGUCUACCGGAGGUAGAGCACUGAAUUUUUGCGGGGGCGUCAAAGCCUACCAAGAGAUAUCAAACUCCGAAUGCCGGAUAGAUGAUUAACGGGAGUCAGACUACACGAGAUAAGUUGGGUAGUCAAAAGGGAAAGAGCCCAGACCUACGGCUAAGGUCCCAAAGUGUGUGUUAAGUGGAAAAGGAUGUGGGAUUUCGAAGACAGCUAGGAUGUUGGCUUAGAAGCAGCCAUACAUUAAAAGAGUGCGUAACAGCUCACUAGUCGAGAGGUCCUGCGCCGAAAAUGUCCGGGGCUAAACACACCACCGAAGCCUAGGAAUGUAAUAUAUACAUUGGUAGAGGAGCAUUCUUAGAGGCGUAGAAGCCAUACCGAAAGGAGUGGUGGAGUAAUAAGAAGAGAGAAUGCCGGAAUGAGUAGCGAGAAAGAGGUGAGAAUCCUCUUGGCCGAAUAUCUAAGGUUUCCUGAGUAAAGCUGAUCUACUCAGGGUAAGUCAGGGGCCCUAAGGCAAGGUCGAAAGACGUAGUCGAUGGAUAACAGGUACAGAUUCCUGUACUACAUAUAAUCAGAACUGUGGGGACACGGAGACUAAAAAAACCGAACCCGGGAGGACAAAAACCGGGGCAAGCGAAGUACCUGUAUGGGAGGAAAAUCCACCAUGCAAAGGGAAGACGUGAUGCGUACCGAAAAAUAGUAGGGAAGUCGGGUAGGGAGCCGUCAAGAAAAGCCGCUAUUGUAUUAUAUGUACCCGUACCGCAAAACCGACACAGGUAGAUGAGGAGAGAAUCCUAAAGGUAAGCGGGAGAAGCAUUGUUAAGGAACUCGGCAAAAAUGACCCCGUAACUUCGGGAGAAGGGGUGCCACUAGAAAUAGUGGUCGCAGAAAAAAAAGGCUCAAGCAACUGUUUAGCAAAAAAACACAGGUCUAUGCGAAACCGCAAGGUGAAGUAUAUGGGCUGACGCCUGCCCAGUGCUGGAAGGUUAAGAGGAGAAGUCAGGAAACGAAGCUUUGAAUUGAAGCCCCAGUAAACGGCGGCCGUAACUAUAACGGUCCUAAGGUAGCGAAAUUCCUUGUCGGGUAAGUUCCGACCCGCACGAAAGGCGUAAUGAUUUGAGCGCUGUCUCAACAAUGCACCCGGUGAAAUUGAAGUACCAGUGAAGAUGCUGGUUACCUGCGCCAGGACGGAAAGACCCCAUGGAGCUUUACUCCAGUUUGGUACUGGGAUUCGGUAAUACUCGUACAGGAUAGGUGGGAGACGAAGAAAGCAUGGACGCCAGUUUAUGCAGAGUCGCCGUUGGGAUACCACCCCUGUAUUGCUGGAUUUCUAACCUGCACCCGUUAUCCGGGUGGGGGACAAUGCCAGACGGGGAGUUUGACUGGGGCGGUCGCCUCCGAAAAGAGUAUCGGAGGCGCUCGAAGGUUCCCUCAGAAUGGUCGGAAACCAUUCAAAGAGUGCAAAGGCAGAAGGGAGCUUGACUGCGACACCGACGGGUGGAGCAGGUACGAAAAAGUAGGACUUAGUGAUCCGGUGGCAUAAAGUGGGAUUGCCAUCGCUCAACGGAUAAAAAGCUACCCUGGGGAUAACAGGCUUAUCACUCCCAAGAGUUCACAUCGACGGAGUGGUUUGGCACCUCGAUGUCGGCUCAUCGCAUCCUGGGGCUGUAGCAGGUCCCAAGGGUUGGGCUGUUCGCCCAUUAAAGCGGUACGCGAGCUGGGUUCAGAACGUCGUGAGACAGUUCGGUCCCUAUCCGGCGUGGGCGUAAGAUAUUUGAGAGGAGCCGUCCUUAGUACGAGAGGACCGGGACGGACUGACCGCUGGUGUACCUGUUGGAGAGUAACUCCAUGGCAGGGUAGCUAUGUCGGGACGGGAUAAACGCUGAAGGCAUCUAAGCGUGAAGCCCCCCUUAAGAUGGGAUAUCUCAUGUGAAAACAGUAAGACCCCUUGAAGACUACGAGGUAGAUAGGGCCAAGAUGUAAGUACAGCAAUGUAUUAAGUUGAUGGUUACUAAUAGGUCGAGGGUUUA